rnacentral:rRNA from 1 species
UGGGGAAUUUUGGACAAUGGGCGAAAGCCUGAUCCAGCAAUGCCGCGUGUGUGAAGAAGGCCUUCGGGUUGUAAAGCACUUUUGUCCGGAAAGAAAUCCUUGGCUCUAAUACAGUCGGGGGAUGACGGUACCGGAAGAAUAAGCACCGGCUAACUACGUGCCAGCAGCCGCGGUAAUACGUAGGGUGCAAGCGUUAAUCGGAAUUACUGGGCGUAAAGCGUGCGCAGGCGGUUUGCUAAGACCGAUGUGAAAAUCCCCGGGCUAACCUGGGGAACUGCAUUGGUGACUGGCAGGCUAGAGUAUGGCAGAGGGGGGUAGAAUUCCACGUGUAGCAGUGAAAUGCGUAGAGAUGUGGAGGAAUACCGAUGGCGAAGGCAGCCCCCUGGGCCAAUACUGACGCUCAUGCACGAAAGCGUGGGGAGCAAAACAGGAUUAGAUACCCUGGUAGUCCACGCCCUAAAACGAUGUCAACUAGUUGUUGGGGAUUCAUUUCCUUAGUAACGUAGCUAACGCGUGAAGUUGACCGCCUGGGGAGUACGGUCGCAAGAUUAAAACUUAAAUGAAUUGACGGGGUCAUAGCUGUUUCCU